rfam:Operophtera brumata OBRT01_Sc00989, whole genome shotgun sequence.
CACAAGGCCCUAUUCAGAGCCACCAAUCUUAAAUCAGUGGAUUUUU